rnacentral:rRNA from 1 species
AACGAACGCUGGCGGCAUGCCUAACACAUGCAAGUCGAACGAGACCUUCGGGUCUAGUGGCGCACGGGUGCGUAACGCGUGGGAACCUGCCCUUAGGUUCGGAAUAACUCCCCGAAAGGGGUGCUAAUACCGGAUAAUGUCUUCGGACCAAAGAUUUAUCGCCUUUGGAUGGGCCCGCGUUGGAUUAGCUAGUUGGUAGGGUAAAAGCCUACCAAGGCGACGAUCCAUAGCUGGUCUGAGAGGAUGAUCAGCCACACUGGGACUGAGACACGGCCCAGACUCCUACGGGAGGCAGCAGUGGGGAAUAUUGUACGAUGGGCGAAAGCCUGAUCCAGCAAUGCCGCGUGAGUGAUGAAGGCCUUAGGGUUGUAAAGCUCUUUUACCCGGGAUGAUAAUGACAGUACCGGGAGAAUAAGCUCCGGCUAACUCCGUG